CGUCUUCACCGCAUCAGCCUCUCACGUCUUCAUUAUAUCCAUCACGUUCUCAUCACUCAUCUCAAUCCCAAGCCUUCAUCACCAUUGACGCUGAGAUCGGAGCUGCCGUACGUUGUGUUUCGUUUGAUCACGUCUAAGUGGGGAGAGAAAGCAAACAUGACAUAUCGUCACCAUUCAACACCGGUUUGAUUAGGAGUGAAAGCAGAAAACAAUGUCAAGUAGUGGAUUUGGUGACCCGUUUAUUGAUACGUCUGAAGUAAAUUAAGGCAAUUUAUUUACGGAUCUGGAUAGCCCUUGUUGCCAAGAUUUCAGAACAGUUUUCUGAUUCUCAAUCAGAGAUCUCGCUUCAAGGAAGCCAUAGCAAUUGACGGUUUGUCAAACGGAGAUUCAAGUUGGAGUUUUGUAAGGCUCAUAUCUUUCGAAGCAGAGAGAAUCAGUUGACCUGUAAAGUGUCUCUGAAAAGCUCAUAUUGUCUAGAAUGCACAGCAUGUGGCGGAGAUUAAAUCGAAGUUAUAUUUAAGACGUUUUAAAUAUUUCUUUCUCGCCAAGUAACUGCAGACACUGUCCAAAUCUAUGCUGAGUAUGAACUAGAAAACAGUUGGUGGGUGAUUGAUGGCAACGUUUGGAGGUCGAAACAGCGUCUAAUCGGGACGAAAUUUGGCGGAGAGCUUCAUGGUACUACUGGCUAGAUUAUCAACGGUGGGAUUGCGUUUAUAACGGUUAGUUCUUGAC